rnacentral:tRNA from 1 species
ACCUGGGUGGCUCAGUCGGUUGAGUGUCUGACUUUGGCUCAGGUCAUGAUCUCACGGUUUGUGGGUUCAAGCCCCGCAUUGGGCU